GCCUCGUUAGCGUAGUGGUUAUCGCAUCUGUCUUGUAUGACUUCGCGUCGUUGCAAACAGAAGGUCAGUCGUUCGAAUCGGCUACGAGGCA